rnacentral:rRNA from 1 species
GAUGAACGCUAGCGGCAGGCCUAACACAUGCAAGUCGAGGGGCAGCACAGAAACAGCAAUGUUUUGGUGGCGACCGGCGGACGGGUGCGUAACGCGUAUGCAACCUACCUUUAACAGGGGGAUAACGGAGAGAAAUUUCCACUAAUACCCCAUAACAUCGAUCAAGGCCUCUUGAUUGGUUGAAAACUCCGGUGGAUAAAGAUGGGCAUUCGUUGUAUUAGGUAGUUGGUGAGGUAAUGGCUAACCAAGCCUACGAUACAUAGGGGGAUUGAGAGGUUAGCCCCCCACACUGGUACUGAGACACGGACCAGACCCCUACGGGAGGCAGCAGUGAGGAAUAUUGGUCAAUGGGGGCAACCCUGAACCAGCCAUGCCGCGUGCAGGAAGACGGCUCUAUGAGUUGUAAACUGCUUUUAAACAGGGAUAAAGCACAGUAUGUAUACUGUGUUGAAGGUACUGUAAGAAUAAGGAUCGGCUAACUCCGUGCCAGCCGCCGCGGUAA